rnacentral:rRNA from 1 species
CAGCCGCCACGGGAAUACGUAGGUGGCAAGCGUUGUCCGGAAUUAUUGGGCGUAAAGGGCUCGCAGGCGGUUUCUUAAGUCUGAUGUGAAAGCCCCCGGCUCAACCGGGGAGGGUCAUUGGAAACUGGGAAACUUGAGUGCAGAAGAGGAGAGUGGAAUUCCACGUGUAGCGGUGAAAUGCGUAGAGAUGUGGAGGAACACCAGUGGCGAAGGCGACUCUCUGGUCUGUAACUGACGCUGAGGAGCGAAAGCGCGGGGAGCGAACAGGAUUAGAUACCCGGGUAGUCCCUGUCUCUUAUAC